rnacentral:tRNA from 1 species
GUACCUAUAGCUCAAUUGGAUAGAGUGCCUGACUACGAAUCAGGAGGUUGGGGGUUCGAUCCCUCCUAGGUACGCCA